rnacentral:lncRNA from 1 species
AUGUUUCUUAGAGUGCUUCGCGGAGGGUCUGCUGCAGACACCCAGCUGACCUUUUUCGACCUCUCAGUUCUUUCUGCAGAAGAACAAGCGGAAUGGCGUCACGAACACAGGCGUGAGGAGCCAUUACCAGAACCAACAUUUGUCCGGACUGGCCUGGACGCACGACCGUCGUCAUCAGUGAAGGCUGUCAGAUAUGAACUGUGUCAAUGGACGUUAUCAAAAGCCAAAAAGCCAGAGGCCUCUGAAUCUGUGUUCUCACCUUGCUGCACACUUUAG